UGCCAGCCGCCGCGGUAAUACGGAGGGAGCGAGCGUUAAUCGGAAUUACUGGGCGUAAAGCGUGCGUAGGUGGUUACUUAAGUCAGAUGUGAAAGCCCAGGGCUUAACCUUGGAAUUGCAUCUGAUACUGGGUGGCUAGAGUACAGUAGAGGAAAGUGGAAUUCCCAGUGUAGAGGUGAAAUUCGUAGAUAUUGGGAGGAACACCGGUGGCGAAGGCGGCCAUCUGGACGGGUACUGACGCUGAGACGCGAAAGCGUGGGGAGCAAACAGGAUUAGAUA
rnacentral:rRNA from 1 species